UGGGUCAAAGAUAAAAAAUACGUAAGAAAUACUUGCUCAAUUUGUUUUGGAAUUAGUCUACAAUACCUUAUGUUAGGUACACAGCGCAUGAGUAUGCAGAAAUGCAUUUUAUCUACGGAAAAAGUCAUCAAAAUGCCAACGAAGCCGCUAAACUCUACAGGGAUCGAUUUUUUCUAAAAAACCGUUCUAACUGCAGAGUGUUUCCUGCUGUGCACAAAGCGUAUUGCGCAGGAAAAAUGCCAGGCGUUUCAGGAGGUCAAGGAAGAGCUCGUCAAUAUAAUGAUGAGGUAUGAGGUAAUCUUAGAUGAAGUGCUUGAAAAUCCAUCAAUUUCAAUAAGAGCUAUCCAACGACGAACGGGAAUUUAAAAAAUUCCCGUUCGUCGCCGUAAAAGCCGUAAUGUACGACUGUGCAUCGUACAUUAAAUAGAUACCAGAUGCUCCCAUUCCAUGUUCAAAGAGUAAAAGCUCUUCGUCCAGCCAAUUACAGAAAACUGGUAGUAUUUUAUCAAGAUUUGCUGAGAAGAAUACAUGCGAAUUCAGACUUAUUGAAAAAGCAUUCUUUGGAGUCCUCAUGUCAACUUUUCGGAAUUUUGAAUAUCCCUGAAAGGGCAAUGUACAUAAAAGAGUAAUGGAAAAUCCAUAUGCUUUUCAGCAGGAUAAAUUUCAGCACCAAUUUAAAAUUAACUUUUUGACGGGAAUAUUCAACAACAGGGUAAUUGGUCCAGUCGACCGUAAAAACCCCAUCUUCGUCAAGAAAUGAGUUUAAGCCAGGCCAAAUCCGCACUUAGUUGAAUUGAGUUGGGUAGAAAGCGGUCUUAUGGCAAGGCAGAAUCAAAAUGGACCUAACGAAUGGAAUAUACCCCUACGAAUAGGAAUCCUAUUAGUUUAAAUGCAGUUACCGUUAGGCACCUAGAGUUUUUUUGAUGUUCGCCAAGAUGCCAUAAUGCCUUGAUGCGGAUUGAUGCAGAUGCUAACUAAGAAGUCGAUAAUGCUAAUAAUAAGCGUCGUUUAGGAGGUAGGCCAAUUGUUGAUGUGUUG